UAUCCACAACAGUGACAGAUCUAAAGCCUGAUAGAACAGUGACAGUCAGGUGGUGUCUAUUCACUUUUGAUGUAAAGUGUAACUCACACAUCAUUAGAGGUGUUACACUGAGCUGGUGGAUGAGACAAGUACUGAUCUGCAGGGAGACUCCAGAUACCAGGUCACACAACAUUCUCCCUGUGACUUCACUCUGUGACAAUCCAGAGGGAGGACAACAACAGGAAGUGGACACGUCAGCUGACUGAAGGAGGAAAAGUGAAGACCUUCAUUGACUUCACCUCCAUGUUCUCGGGAAGUACCCCAUGCCAGAGAGCAGGAUCCACAACUACUACAUGUAUCAUCUCUGCAAGUCUCUGGACCACAUACACAAUCAUGGUCUCUUCCACCGGUACAUCAAACCAGAGAACAUUCUGAUUAAGGUGAGACAGAUUCCCAUAGACAGAGAUGUAUUGAGAUUGGAGGAGAACUCUACUGAACCUACCAUGAUGGCACUAAGAAUGCCAUGACAAACACUCACAGUUACAUUGUUACUAUACUUUGUAUUCAGUCACUGUUUUAUGAAAUUGGAUGUUCAGUAAAAUGAUUCUUUAUCAUUUA